rnacentral:rRNA from 1 species
GACAGAGGGUGCAAACGUUGUUCGGAAUUACUGGGCGUAAAGCGCGCGUAGGCGGCUUUGCAAGUCGAGUGUGAAAUCCCCAGGCUUAACCUGGGAACUGCAUUCGAGACUGCAUAGCUAGAGUAUGGGAGAGGGAAGUGGAAUUUCAGGUGUAGCGGUGAAAUGCGUAGAUAUCUGAAGGAACAUCAGUGGCGAAAGCGACUACCUGGACCAAUACUGACGCUCAUGUGCGAAAGCGUGGGGAGCAAACAGG